rnacentral:rRNA from 1 species
AUUGAACGCUGGCGGCAGGCUUAACACAUGCAAGUCGAGCGGAGAUGAGGUGCUUGCACCUUAUCUUAGCGGCGGACGGGUGAGUAAUGCUUAGGAAUCUGCCUAUUAGUGGGGGACAACAUUCCGAAAGGAAUGCUAAUACCGCAUACGUCCUACGGGAGAAAGCAGGGGACCUUCGGGCCUUGCGCUAAUAGAUGAGCCUAAGUCGGAUUAGCUAGUUGGUGGGGUAAAGGCCUACCAAGGCGACGAUCUGUAGCGGGUCUGAGAGGAUGAUCCGCCACACUGGGACUGAGACACGGCCCAGACUCCUACGGGAGGCAGCAGUGGGGAAUAUUGGACAAUGGGCGGAAGCCUGAUCCAGCCAUGCCGCGUGUGUGAAGAAGGCCUUUUGGUUGUAAAGCACUUUAAGCGAGGAGGAGGCUACUUAGAUUAAUACUCUAGGAUAGUGGACGUUACUCGCAGAAUAAGCACCGGCUAACUCUGUGCCAGCAGCCGCCGUAAGAC